GAGGGUAUAGUUAAAGUGGUAGAGCCCGUGCUUAGCACGCAAGAGGUGCUGGGUUCAAUCCCCAGUACCUCCA
rnacentral:tRNA from 1 species